rnacentral:rRNA from 1 species
AACGAACGCUGGCGGCAUGCCUAACACAUGCAAGUCGAACGAUUGCCUUCGGGUGAUAGUGGCGCACGGGUGCGUAACGCGUGGGAAUCUGCCCUUAGGUUCGGAAUAACAGCUGGAAACGGCUGCUAAUACCGGAUGAUAUCGCGAGAUCAAAGAUUUAUCGCCUGAGGAUGAGCCCGCGUUGGAUUAGGUAGUUGGUGGGGUAAAGGCCUACCAAGCCGACGAUCCAUAGCUGGUCUGAGAGGAUGAUCAGCCACACUGGGACUGAGACACGGCCCAGACUCCUACGGGAGGCAGCAGUGGGGAAUAUUGGACAAUGGGCGCAAGCCUGAUCCAGCAAUGCCGCGUGAGUGAUGAAGGCCCUAGGGUUGUAAAGCUCUUUUACCCGGGAAGAUAAUGACUGUACCGGAAGAAUAAGCCCCGGCUAACUCCGUG